rnacentral:misc_RNA from 1 species
GAUGAAGAACGUAGCGAAAUGCGAUAAGUAAUGUGAAUUGCAGAAUUCAGUGAAUCAUCGAAUCUUUGAACGCACAUUGCGCCCGCCAGUAUUCUGGCGGGCAUGCCUGUUCGAGCGUCAUUUCAACCAUCAAGCCCCAGGCUUGUGUUGGGGACCUGCGGCUGCCGCAGGCCCUGAAAACCAGUGGCGGGCUCGCUGUCACACCGGGCGUAGUAGAUUUUAUCUCGCUCAGGGCGUGCUGCGGGUUCCGGCCGUUAAAAAGCCUUUUUUACACAAGGUUGACCUCGGAUCAGGUAGGAAGACCCGCUGAACUUAAGCAUAUCAAUAAGCGGAGGA